UACGUAGGGUGCGGGCGUUAAUCGGAAUUACUGGGCGUAAAGGGUGCGUAGGGGGUUGUAUAAGUUAGCUGUGAAAUUCCUGGGCUUAACCUAGGCAGGUCAGAUAAUACUGUGCGACUCGAGUAUGGGAGAGGGUAGUGGAAUUUCCGGUGUAGCGGUGAAAUGCGUAGAGAUCGGAAGGAACACCAGUGGCGAAGGCGGCUACCUGGCCUAAUACUGACACUGAGGCACGAAAGCGUGGGGAGCAAACAGG
rnacentral:rRNA from 1 species